rnacentral:lncRNA from 1 species
GACUAGAAGGCAGGCUUGUCAUAAACUAAACUUUAGGAUUUGGGAUACGAGUAAAAUUAGGUUGCAGACUUACGGGUGCUAAGAUACGGCUGUGUUCAAUUCCUAAAAAUGGAGCUGUUCAAAAUGUAGCAUCAGAUAUUGAGAAGACUUUGUACUGACAUACUCCACUUGAUUUUUCUAAUUGAUUAUUUUUUUGGCUUGUCUAUUUCUGGUGAUUUUCUAUUAUCCUUAAUUCAAAAUGCAGAUACUGGAUUUUUUUCCAGAAUACAGAUAAUGGAUUUCGUUGAUCUUGGUAGCUUCUAAAGUCUAAACCAAAUAAGAUACAUCAAAACCUGCAAGAUUAUAUCAGGGGCAAUGGGAUUACUUUGGCGGAAGAAACAUUUUUAACUAAAACCACAUCCAACACCAGCUCCAAAAGCCGGGACAACUACCCCAAUUCUUGAUGUUCUGAUCUGUAGCCUCCACAGAAAACAUUUCUUUUCUUAUACUCCCAUUCAUCUCCAUCACUCCUCUUUCUCCAGCAAAGUUUAGCGAUUCUGCGGUUUCAGAAUAAAAAUAGUUUUUACAGAAUUCCUUUCUUCUGUCUCGUUAAUCUUCAACCCUCAUGCUGACUAAAGCAUUUUCUUUGUUUUUUUGUGUGCUUCUUAUGUCACUUGGAAAGAAAUCAACAACCAUGAUACAGGAAGAUCUAGAGGUUUUGACUUAGCUAUCUUCAAGGUCAAGCAAGCAACGAGGGAAGUGAUUGAGAGGAUGAAUGACCAAACAGAUAUUUGUACUUCUUGUUCCCUCUUUUUGAUAAAUUAUAAUUUAGAUUAAGGAUCAGCAAUAUGCAAGUGCAAAACGUAAAAUUACAAUUGGUGCAGUUCCCAAUCAUGUCUAACAUAGCAUCUAAAUCCUGUACAACGGAUAGCUUGCACUAAUUCUUGUUCCAUCUUGUCUUCAUUUUAUUCUCUGUCCGCUCAUUCUUCCUAUUUCAACUUAUGUGCCAGUCAAAGAUCCUGCUCCAGCACCGGUGUAAUCUUGGAUGGACACUGGUUCAGCCAGAGAAAACUAAGGAUCCAUGUAGCAUAGCAA